CCUAAUGAGACGCCUUUUGAGUGCCAGGGUGCCGGGGCCGCCGCGAGUGUCUGCUGCGCUCCAUGAGGAAGAUGCUUGCCGCUGUGUCCCGCGUGUUGGCAGGCGCUGCACAGAAGCCGGCAAGCAGAGUGCUGGUAGUUUCCCGUAAUUUUGCAAAUGAUGCUACGUUUGAGAUUAAGAAAUGUGACCUUCAUCGCCUAGAAGAGGGCCCUCCAGUCACCACGGUGCUCACCAGAGAGGAUGGGCUCAAGUAUUACAGGAUGAUGCAGACUGUGCGCCGGAUGGAGCUAAAGGCAGAUCAGCUGUAUAAGCAGAAAAUUAUUCGUGGUUUCUGUCACUUAUGUGAUGGUCAGGAAGCCUGCUGUGUGGGCCUGGAGGCUGGCAUAAACCCCACGGACCAUCUCAUCACUGCCUAUCGAGCACAUGGUUUCACCUUCACUCGGGGCCUGCCUGUCCGAGCAAUUCUUGCAGAGCUAACAGGACGAAGAGGAGGUUGUGCUAAAGGGAAAGGCGGAUCAAUGCACAUGUAUGCCAAGAACUUCUAUGGGGGCAAUGGCAUCGUUGGAGCUCAGGUGCCCCUGGGAGCAGGAAUUGCUCUGGCCUGUAAGUACAAUGGAAAAGAUGAGGUCUGUUUGACAUUGUAUGGCGAUGGUGCUGCUAAUCAGGGUCAGAUCUUUGAAGCUUACAAUAUGGCAGCAUUGUGGAAAUUACCUUGUAUUUUCAUCUGUGAGAAUAACCGCUAUGGCAUGGGGACAUCAGUCGAGAGAGCAGCAGCCAGCACAGACUACUACAAAAGAGGAGAUUUUAUUCCUGGACUCAGAGUAGAUGGAAUGGAUAUCUUGUGUGUCCGAGAGGCAACAAAGUUUGCAGCUACCUAUUGCAGGUCUGGUAAGGGGCCCAUCCUGAUGGAGCUACAGACUUACCGCUACCAUGGACAUAGCAUGAGUGACCCUGGAGUAAGUUACCGCACUCGAGAGGAAAUCCAGGAAGUAAGAAGUAAGAGCGACCCUAUUAUGCUUCUCAAGGAUAGGAUGGUGAAUAGCAAUCUUGCAAGUGUUGAAGAAUUAAAGGAGAUUGAUAUGGAAGUGAGGAAAGAAAUUGAGGAUGCUGCCCAGUUUGCCACGGCUGAUCCAGAGCCACCGUUGGAGGAACUAGGCUAUCACAUCUACAGCAGUGAGCCUCCCUUUGAAGUGCGUGGUGCCAACCAGUGGAUCAAGUUUAAGUCAGUCAGUUAAUGGGAGACUGUUAGAAGGAUGGGUGUUCCACAUCCGUUGUAAGGAACUCUCUGUACUCUCAACUUUGACAGGAAGUUACCAGACAACAAAAAGUCUUAAACAUGUAAAUCAAGGGAGAGUAAAAUUGCAUGCAGUUUGUACAUUGUUGUAUUCGGUGUAUUCAUGUGAAUAAGAGUAUACUGGAUUAUAUA